CUUCAGGAAAAGUUUCACUAUAACUUUGCUGCUGAUUCUCAUUUAAGAUCCUGCCUCGUCUUUAUUGCAAUUCCAGCAAACUUUUGUCCCAGUCCCACUUUAAAAAUUCACAAUAAUUAAUAACUUUAAGCUGCUCAAUCUGCCCUGCAAACAUUAUUGGUUCUUAUCAGGUACAAGCAGUGUGCAGCAUAUCCUUGAAUCCAGGUUCACUGAAGCAGCUUAUUAAUCUUCAAACAUAAACGUUAGGAUGUCUUGAUUUUGGAAGCUCCAUA
rnacentral:lncRNA from 1 species